rnacentral:rRNA from 1 species
GAUGAACGCUAGCGGCAGGCCUAACACAUGCAAGUCGCGGGGCCGCACAGAAACAGCAAUGUUUUGGUGGCGACAGGCGGACGGGUGCGUAACGCGUAUGCAACCUACCUUUAACAGGGGGAUAACGGAGAGUAAUGUCCACUACUACCCCAUAACAUCGAUCAAGCCAUCUGGACUGGUUGAAAACUCCGGUGGUUAAGGAGCGGUAUGCGUUGUAUUAGGUCGUGGGUGAGGUAGUGGCUCACCAAGCCUACUGUACAUAGGGGGACUGGGAGGUUAGCCCCCCACACUGGUAAUGAGACACGGACCAGAGUCCGACGGGAGGCAGCAGUGAGGAAUAUUGGUCAAUGGGGGCAACCCUGAACCAGCGAUGCCGCGUGCAGGAAGACGGCUCUAUGAGUUGUAAACUGCUUUUAAACAGGGACAAAGCACAGUAUGUAUACUGUGUUGAAGGUACUGUAAGAAUAAGGAUCGGCUAACUCCGUGCCAGCAGCCGCCGUAA